UCCAGACUCCUACGGGAGGCAGCAGUGAGGAAUAUUGGUCAAUGGGCUUACGCCUGAACCAGCCAAGUCGCGUGAGGGAAGACUGCCCUAUGGGUUGUAAACCUCUUUUGUCGGGGAGCAAUUGGCGCUACGUGUAGCGUUAUCGAGAGUACCUGAAGAAAAAGCAUCGGCUAACUCCGUGCCAGCAGCCGCGGUAAUACGUAGGGAGCGAGCGUUAUCCGGAUUUACUGGGUGUAAAGGGCGUGUAGGCGGGAAAGCAAGUCAGAUGUGAAAACCAUGGGCUCAACCUGUGGCCUGCAUUUGAAACUGUUUUUCUUGAGUACUGGAGAGGCAGACGGAAUUCCUAGUGUAGCGGUGAAAUGCGUAGAUAUUAGGAGGAACACCAGUGGCGAAGGCGGCCUGCUGGACGACAACUGACGGUGAGGCGCGAAAGCGUGGGGAGCAAACAGGAUUAGAUACCCCGGUA
rnacentral:rRNA from 1 species